rnacentral:rRNA from 1 species
AACCGAGAUUCCCCCAGUAGCGGCGAGCGAACGGGGAGCAGCCCAGAGCCUGAAUCAGUGUGUGUGUUAGUGGAAGCGUCUGGAAAGGCGCGCGAUACAGGGUGACAGCCCCGUACACAAAAAUGCAUAUACUGUGAGCUCGAUGAGUAGGGCGGGACACGUGGUAUCCUGUCUGAAUAUGGGGGGACCAUCCUCCAAGGCUAAAUACUCCUGACUGACCGAUAGUGAACCAGUACCGUGAGGGAAAGGCGAAAA